UACAGAGGUGGCAAGCGUUGUUCGGAAUUACUGGGCGUAAAGGGCGCGUAGGCGGUUUCGUAAGUCCUGUGUGAAAUCCCCCGGCUCAACUGGGGAACUGCACAGGAAACUGCGAGGCUUGAGUUCGGGAGAGGGAAGCGGAAUUCCGGGUGUAGCGGUGAAAUGCGUAGAUAUCCGGAGGAACACCGGUGGCGAAGGCGGCUCACUGGACCACAACUGACGCUGAGGCGCGAAAGCUAGGGGAGCAAACAGG
rnacentral:rRNA from 1 species